UCCCAUUCCACGUCUCUCAUUCUUUAUCUCAAGUCUCAAGUCGCGUCUGCCGACUCCAACCCCCAAAUCGCAACUCCUAUUUCACGUCUUCCCGACUACACAUACGCAGAGCCACUCACACACUCAUUUAUCUUGUGAACUCAUAAGCAAUCUCUCUCUCUCUCUCUCUCUCUCUCUCUCUCUCUCUCUCUGAACGGUAAGAACUCAAAACGGAAGGUCAAUCAAUUGUUGCUUUCCAUUUGUUUAAAAAUUCAAAACCCAUUAUUAUCUCUAAUGAACCAGUAAUUAAUGACUCUCUGCAACUACCCAACAAAGAUCAAUACAAAUAUAAGCACUCUCUCUCACUUCUCUUGAGGUUCAAACACCGCCAUGGAUGGAAGGGCUGAAGGAGGUCAAGAGAGAAGCUAUUGGAGAUGGUGCAAAUAGGAUUUCUUCCUUGAACAGUCCUUCCAAAGCUGGAGUAGCUAUAGAUCAAUGUUCUCUCAGACAUGUUUCUGAUUCAAGGAUCGUCUCCUGGACCGCUCCAUAGAGUCAAACGAGGUGGAAGUGUUGAGUAGACAGAGCGAGAAUAGCAUGAAACGAUGCCUCAAAUGGUGGGAUCUCAUCUGGUUAGCUUCGGCUCUGUUGUCAGCGCUGGAAUCUUCAUUCUCACAGGUCAAGAAGCUCACAACCAUGUCGGCCCUACAAUUGUUCUAUCCUAUGCCUCUUCAGGUCUCUCUGCCUCUCUCUGCUUUCUGCUAUAGAGAAUUCAUUGUUGAGAUCGCAGUUGCAGGUGUUAGUGAACGUUUGAGGUUUUUGGGCAAAGACCCUGAAGCUUGGGAUGAUCCUAUGAUGUUUAAUCCUGACUGAUUCUUGGGCUUAUGUAUUGAUUCAUCUCCCUUUUGCCAGUCCUUUGGUUCUCAGGACUCCUUUGUGGAGAUGGCGAAGCUUGAUGGAAUGGAUGAUAUGUGGCCAGAGAGACAUGUGAUUCUACACUGGUGGUGAUCAGGAAAUUAUCUAGAGGCAUUAGAGUCCCCGCUUGGCUUUGGAAUGGUUAUACUUAAGGUAUAGAUUUUGCCCAUCAGCUGUUUGAUGAAAUGCAUGAACAUUCAAAAACCAAGAAUGCAUUUUAGCUAACAUGUAUAAACAAACAAUGUUCUCAUUCUCUAUUAAGAAUACAUUUUCCAUUGCAA